CACACAAUAUAUUCACAUACUUAGAACAUAAAAAGAUUGUUCAACACAAAUUCACCUCACACAUUGGAAUGAGAAAAGAAUACGCGAGACUGUGAGAUGAGAGCUAAAAAUUUAGCAGCAUCUUUCUUAAAAGCGGCACCAGCAAAUAAGGCCCAGGCCCAAAAAAAACCCGACGCGUGCUCAGCAGCAAACUGCGGGGGCUGUUGUGAAAUAUACGGUGGAAAACGAAAAAAAACGUGAAAUGGGAGAAUGCGGGGUAGCAUUACAACGAAAAGAGAAACAAGGCUACACCCGAGUGGCUGUUGAAGGUUACCUACCGGAGAUAACACAGAAAAAAAAGGGAAGCGACUAUCAAAGACAA